AGAGUAAGUCAGCCUAAUCCAGCGGCUCACCAGGGUAGUAACCCAAACAACAGGUAAAGCUGGAGCGGAGGAACCAACAUUUGGGGCGUAUCUCUCAACUCUGUUUCAUUGUGUAAGCAACAGAGCAGAGAAGGACAUCUCUCAGUCCUAGCCCGUCAGCUAACUUCGUAGGCAUUGAGGGGAGACUGA
rnacentral:sRNA from 2 species